UGGAGAGAAGGAGUGUGUGUUCACAGGAUUAUUGCUGAAUAAGCCUCCAGGGAGGGGAAACCUUGAAGUCUCUUACAGGAAGUCUUUGGGUAUUUGUCGACCAGUUCCAUGAUUUCAACAAAAAGGGAACUUCACUGUUGCAUGUGUGAGAGGCGUUCAAGACAAACUACAUGACUUCACCAACGGAACAGUCCUUGACCCACAUCGCAGGAGCUCUGUUUGAUCAUGCUUGCCAACAACACUUGUGUCCAUGGAAAUUACACGGCUGAAUGUCCCCCCCGUGGCUCCCCUGCAGGUCUGGCCUCAGGUCUGACAAUCUUCUUCUUGCUGCUGGUGAUCGCAGCUUGUUUGAUCAUAUACAAAUACCACAGCACCAUCAGGAAUAUGAUACCGUUGGGGCGCACAAGAAGCGUGAAGAAGGAGGAAUACAUAGAGACGCCACAAGCUGAUCAACAUACGUAUACUUCUUUGACCAAAGACCAACCAACAGCACAGGCCCCAAUUUAUGAAAACCUGAACACCAGAGCCAACAGGCAGCCAGCAAAACCAAGCAGGUCAUUGAGAGAACCCGAGGAGGAUUUGUAUCUGCAGUGUGAUGGAGGCCUACCAGAUGAUGCAAUAUACAGCAACGAUCCGACUUGUAAUCUCUCCAUCCUCCCUGACCCCCAAGAAGACGAAGAUGUCUAUAUAAUGCCAGAUGUAUUAUAGGAAAAACUGCAAACUUUUGCUCAUUUUACUGUGCAGCUCAGGGUUUAAGUGUACACUUUAAUCAAGGCAACAACGCUGCCUUUGAGAGUGUGAAGCUUCUAAAUAUUCAGGUGUAUGAUCUUUGUGUGUUAAAUGUUAUGGUGUUAUAAACAAUGUUGCAUUUGAUUCUUUAUCUCUUGAAUUUGUUGAGUAGUGUUGAAACAUGAUGAAUAUCUGCUAUUACAUUCUCUUGAGUGACCUGUUUAUCAGGGGGUCAUGUGGUGAAAACACUGAGGUCAGUUUUUGUAUCAGCAGGUUUGAAUUUGCAUUACAUUUAGAAAACAUUUAAGAAGUAUAAAAAUGUAUUUAAUGUUUUUCUUCACAGUGUUAACUAUGGCAUGUACAAUAAAUCUUCAAAUCUAAAGUUCUUGCUUGAAAACUAAGAAAUUCUGUGACUAGAAUAUGCCUCACAUGUGUAAAUAAAAGGAUGUUUGCAUACUUG